GAGUUUGAUCCUGGCUCAGAACGAACGCUGGCGGCGUGGAUAAGACAUGCAAGUCGAACGGGAGAAUUGCUAGCUUGCUAAUAAUUCUCUAGUGGCGCACGGGUGAGUAACACGUGAGUAACCUGCCCCCGAGAGCGGGAUAGCCCUGGGAAACUGGGAUUAAUACCGCAUAGUAUCGAAAGAUUAAAGCAGCAAUGCGCUUGGGGAUGGGCUCGCGGCCUAUUAGUUAGUUGGUGAGGUAACGGCUCACCAAGGCGAUGACGGGUAGCCGGUCUGAGAGGAUGUCCGGCCACACUGGAACUGAGACACGGUCCAGACACCUACGGGUGGCAGCAGUCGAGAAUCAUUCACAAUGGGGGAAACCCUGAUGGUGCGACGCCGCGUGGGGGAAUGAAGGUCUUCGGAUUGUAAACCCCUGUCAUGUGGAGCAAAAUUAAAAAAGAUAGUACCACAAGAGGAAGAGACGGCUAACUCUGUGCC
rnacentral:rRNA from 1 species